GUGAUCGUGCGCCGACAAUGUAGCGGGGCUCAAGCACACCGCCGAAGCCGCGGACCCAUGACGUUGUUCCCUUCACUGUCCGGCUUGUCCGGGUGGUGGCAGGGGUUGUGGGUGGUAGGGGAGCGUCCUGCACCGGGGGAAGCCUGUGGGUGACUGCUGGUGGACGGUGCGGGAGUGAGAAUGCAGGCAUGAGUAGCGAUACUAGGGUGAGAAGCCCUAGCGCCGAAUGACCAAGGGUUCCAGGGCCAGGCUAGUCCGCCCUGGGUGAGUCGGGACCUAAGGCGAGGCCGACAGGCGUAGUCGAUGGAUGACGGGUUGAUAUUCCCGUACCGGCGAAGCACCGCCCAUGCUGACGCGCGGGUGCUAACCCACGCCCAGCCACCAUAUUGGCCGCAUGUGUCAGGUUCGCCUGACGGUGUGGUUGUGGUGGUGGGGUCUGGGGAUCCUCCGUGCAGGUAGGCAAGCGUGUUAACAGGGGUGACGCACAGUGGUAGCCCGGCGGACCUGAUGGCUUGGUCCGUUCAAGCGCGCAGCCCGUCUCCCAGGUAAAUCCGGGGGACUGUCUUUGAUGACGGGGGUGAGGCGUGAUGGUGACCUCACGUUGGUGGGGGAUAACAGGGUGAUCCUGGGGUGCCGAGAAAAGCCUCGACGCGAUGGUGCCAGCCGCCCGUACCCUAAACCGACACAGGUGGUCGGGCAGAGUAUGCCUAGGCGCACGAGUGAAUCAUGGUUAAGGAACUCGGCAAAAUGCCCCCGUAACUUCGGGAGAAGGGGGGCCUGAUCCCUGAAGCCCCUUUUGCGGGCUAGGGGGGAGGGUCGCAGAGGCCAGGGGGAAGCGACUGUUUACUAAAAACACAGGUCCGUGCGAAGCCGUAAGGCGAUGUAUACGGACUGACGCCUGCCCGGUGCUGGAAGGUUAAGAGGAACCAUCAACCCCCUUGUGGGGUGAAGUGGUGAAUUUAAGCCCCAGUAAACGGCGGUGGUAACUAUAACCAUCCUAAGGUAGCGAAAUUCCUUGUCGGGUAAGUUCCGACCUGCACGAAUGGCGUAACGACUUCUCCGCUGUCUCAACCGCGAACUCGGUGAAAUUGCAGUACGAGUAAAGAUGCUCGUUUCGCGCAGAAGGACGGAAAGACCCCGGGACCUUUACUACAGCUUGGUAUUGGCGCCCGCUAUAGCUUGUGCAGGAUAGGUGGGAGACUGUGAAGCCGUUACGCCAGUGGCGGUGGAGUCGUCCUUGAAAUACCACUCUGGUUAUGGCGUGCGCCUGAACCUGGGCCCGUGAUCCGGGUUAGGGACAGUGCCUGGUGGGUAGUUUAACUGGGGCGGUUGCCUCCUAAAUUGUAACGGAGGCGCUCAAAGGUUCCCUCAUCCUGGUCGGUAACCAGGUGUUGAGUGUAAGUGCACAAGGGAGCUUGACUGCGAGACUGACAGGUCGAGCAGGUACGAAAGUAGGAACUAGUGAUCCGGCGAUCCCGUGUGGGUGGGUCGUCGCUCAACGGAUAAAAGGUACCCCGGGGAUAACAGGCUGAUCCUGCCCAAGAGUCCAUAUCGACGGCAUGGUUUGGCACCUCGAUGUCGGCUCGUCGC
rnacentral:rRNA from 1 species